UGUUAUUCGACGAACAUGAUAUCCUAAAACGGAAUUCAAUAUUCGCGGAUACCAUAAUGAAUAUUAAAGGUGUAUAAUUAAACGAGUCCGAUGUAUCUUAAUGAGUUUACAUAAAGUUUGACAAAGAACAAAAUAAUUUAAUGCAGAUCAGCUGACAGUUAUCGGAUGGAUAAAAGGAUUCGGUUUAAUAAAGGAAUGUCAGAGUUGUUAGUGUGUUUGUAACACGAUUGCACAGUGUGUUGUGCUCUGUGGGAGUAGAAGACGCGAGCGCUGACAACAGGCUGAACAGAACGCGUUUGUGCGUCGUCGAGCUCGCUGCUACGGCGCCCCGGCUUUUUACUCGUGCGCCAAAACCCUUAUACAAUUUUGACUCCGACGUAUAGUUGCGCGUCGUUUGAACCUCAAAGCAAAUCAGUGGUGUGGAUACAAAAACGUUACAAAAAUGACGACCGCCAGUAUGCUGUUGACAGUUGCGACAACGUGGAAUGUCUCCACUGACAAGAUUGAUAAGGAGGGUUGCUUAGGCCUCGCUAUCAAACACGUCACCGCCGAAGCCGCCAAGGAACUCCGCGAAAGUCCAUCGACCAAGGAACAAGCGCUCACCAUCAUGCGGGAAUGGAUACAACAGAAUAUCGACAUCAAAAAUGUCCGCCAAGGUAAAUUCUCCACAUUUUAUUUAGGCAUAGUGAGAAAAUACUUGUUGGAUGGUAUACCUACAAACGAUGCAGAUGCUAACAAAACUGACUCAAAAAUCUUAAGAUAAACAUGACACAGCGUAAUAUCAAGCUUCUGUUUCUUUUUCAUACAAGUUAUGUUUAGUGCAAAAAACCCAAACACAAAAGCAUCAAGCCACCUAAAAAAAGAGUGACACUCUGCCCUUUGUAAAAUAUUUUAUACCUUUUUCUUCGCAUGCUAUAUGGUAGACUUAACGGAUUUAGCAGAAUGCCGUUGCCUAUAGUAUGAUUGCAUAGAUCACUUACAGAUCUUAAUUUUAAAUGACUGAAAAUAAAUACACAAAAAAGUACAUCAUUAUGUAUAGCGACUAUUUAUGCAACUUCCAUAUAACAUUUA